rnacentral:rRNA from 1 species
CACUAUCGUUAACUGAAUACAUAGGUUAACGAGGCGAACCGGGGGAACUGAAACAUCUAAGUACCCCGAGGAAAAGAAAUCAACCGAGAUUCCCCCAGUAGCGGCGAGCGAACGGGGAGCAGCCCAGAGUCUGAAUCAGCUUGUGUGUUAGUGGAACGGUCUGGAAAGUCCGACGGUACAGGGUGAUAGUCCCGUACACCAAAAUGCACAGGCUGUGAACUCGAAGAGUAGGGCGGGACACGUGGUAUCCUGUCUGAAUAUGGGGGGACCAUCCUCCAAGGCUAAAUACUCCUGACUGACCGAUAGUGAACCAGUACCGUGAGGGAAAGGCGAAAAGAACCCCGGCGAGGGGAGUGAAAAAGAACCUGAAACCGUGUACGUACAAGCAGUGGGAGCACCUUCGGGUGUGACUGCGUACCUUUUGUAUAAUGGGUCAGCGACUUAUAUUCUGUAGCAAGGUUAACCGUAUAGGGGAGCCGCAGGGAAACCGAGUCUUAACUGGGCGUUAAGUUGCAGGGUAUAGACCCGAAACCCGGUGAUCUAGCCAUGGGCAGGUUGAAGGUUGGGUAACACUAACUGGAGGACCGAACCGACUAAUGUUGAAAAAUUAGCGGAUGACUUGUGGCUGGGGGUGAAAGGCCAAUCAAACCGGGAGAUAGCUGGUUCUCCCCGAAAGCUAUUUAGGUAGCGCCUCGUGAAUUCAUCUUCGGGGGUAGAGCACUGUUUCGGCUAGGGGGUCAUCCCGACUUACCAACCCGAUGCAAACUACGAAUACCGAAGAAUGUUAUCACGGGAGACACACGGCGGGUGCUAACGUCCGUCGUGAAGAGGGAAACAACCCAGACCGCCAGCUAAGGUCCCAAAGUCAUGGUUAAGUGGGAAACGAUGUGGGAAGGCACAGACAGCCAGGAUGUUGGCUUAGAAGCAGCCAUCAUUUAAAGAAAGCGUAAUAGCUCACUGGUCGAGUCGGCCUGCGCGGAAGAUGUAACGGGGCUAAACCAUGCACCGAAGCUGCGGCAGCGACACUAUGUGUUGUUGGGUAGGGGAGCGUUCUGUAAGCCUGCGAAGGUGACCUGUGAGGGUUGCUGGAGGUAUCAGAAGUGCGAAUGCUGACAUAAGUAACGAUAAAGCGGGUGAAAAGCCCGCUCGCCGGAAGACCAAGGGUUCCUGUCCAACGUUAAUCGGGGCAGGGUGAGUCGACCCCUAAGGCGAGGCCGAAAGGCGUAGUCGAUGGGAAACAGGUUAAUAUUCCUGUACUUGGUGUUACUGCGAAGGGGGGACGGAGAAGGCUAUGUUAGCCGGGCGACGGUUGUCCCGGUUUAAGCAUGUAGGCUGAUUGUCCAGGCAAAUCCGGAUAAUCAAGGCUGAGGUGUGAUGACGAGGCACUACGGUGCUGAAGUAACAAAUGCCCUGCUUCCAGGAAAAGCCUCUAAGCAUCAGGUAACAUUAAAUCGUACCCCAAACCGACACAGGUGGUCAGGUAGAGAAUACCAAGGCGCUUGAGAGAACUCGGGUGAAGGAACUAGGCAAAAUGGUGCCGUAACUUCGGGAGAAGGCACGCUGGUGUGUAGGUGAAGUCCCUGCGGAUGGAGCUGAGACCAGUCGAAGAUACCAGCUGGCUGCAACUGUUUAUUAAAAACACAGCACUGUGCAAACACGAAAGUGGACGUAUACGGUGUGACGCCUGCCCGGUGCCGGAAGGUUAAUUGAUGGGGUUAUCCGUAAGGAGAAGCUCUUGAUCGAAGCCCCGGUAAACGGCGGCCGUAACUAUAACGGUCCUAAGGUAGCGAAAUUCCUUGUCGGGUAAGUUCCGACCUGCACGAAUGGCGUAAUGAUGGCCAGGCUGUCUCCACCCGAGACUCAGUGAAAUUGAACUCGCUGUGAAGAUGCAGUGUACCCGCGGCAAGACGGAAAGACCCCGUGAACCUUUACUAUAGCUUGACACUGAACAUUGAGCCUUGAUGUGUAGGAUAGGUGGGAGGCUUUGAAGCGUGGACGCCAGUCUGCGUGGAGCCAACCUUGAAAUACCACCCUUUAAUGUUUGAUGUUCUAACGUUGGCCCCUGACCGGGGUUGCGGACAGUGUCUGGUGGGUAGUUUGACUGGGGCGGUCUCCUCCCAAAGCGUAACGGAGGAGCACGAAGGUUAGCUAAUCCUGGUCGGACAUCAGGAGGUUAGUGCAAUGGCAUAAGCUAGCUUGACUGCGAGCGUGACGGCGCGAGCAGGUGCGAAAGCAGGUCAUAGUGAUCCGGUGGUUCUGAAUGGAAGGGCCAUCGCUCAACGGAUAAAAGGUACUCCGGGGAUAACAGGCUGAUACCGCCCAAGAGUUCAUAUCGACGGCGGUGUUUGGCACCUCGAUGUCGGCUCAUCACAUCCUGGGGCUGAAGUAGGUCCCAAGGGUAUGGCUGUUCGCCAUUUAAAGUGGUACGCGAGCUGGGUUUAGAACGUCGUGAGACAGUUCGGUCCCUAUCUGCCGUGGGCGCUGGAGAAUUGAGGGGGGCUGCUCCUAGUACGAGAGGACCGGAGUGGACGCAUCACUGGUGUUCGGGUUGUCAUGCCAAUGGCACUGCCCGGUAGCUAAAUGCGGAAGAGAUAAGUGCUGAAAGCAUCUAAGCACGAAACUUGCCCCGAGAUGAGUUCUCCCUGAGACUUUAAGUCUCCUGAAGGAACGUUAAAGACGAUGACGUUGAUAGGCCGGGUGUGUAAGCGCAGCGAUGCGUUGAGCUAACCGGUACUAAUGAACCGUGAGGCUUAACCUU